UACGAACUGUGCGAACGUUAUUCGGAAUCACUGGGCUUACAGGGUGCGUAGGCGGCUAUUCAGGUCAGGUGUGAAAGCCCCCGGCUCAACCGGGGAACUGCGAUUGAAACCGAGUGGCUCGAGUCAGCUAGAGGUACACGGAACUUCCAGUGGAGCGGUGAAAUGUGUUGAUAUUGGAAGGAACACCGGAGGCGAAAGCGGUGUACUGGGGCUGGUCUGACGCUGAGGCACGAAAGCCAGGGGAGCGAACGGG
rnacentral:rRNA from 1 species